rfam:Cryptococcus bestiolae CBS 10118 unplaced genomic scaffold supercont1.1, whole genome shotgun sequence.
GCCUUUGUAGCUCAGUGGAAGAGCUUAUGACUUUUACGUAAUCUUGCGUGUAUCAUACGGUCCAGGGUUCGAGCCCCUGCAUCGGCU